rnacentral:rRNA from 1 species
AUACGUAGGGGGCGAGCGUUGUCCGGAAUGAUUGGGCGUAAAGGGCGCGUAGGCGGCCCGGUAAGUCUGGAGUGAAAGUCCUGUUUUUAAGAUGGGAAUUGCUUUGGAUACUGUCGGGCUUGAGUGCAGGAGAGGUAAGUGGAAUUCCCAGUGUAGCGGUGAAAUGCGUAGAGAUUGGGAGGAACACCAGUGGCGAAGGCGACUUACUGGACUGUAACUGACGCUGAGGCGCGAAAGUGUGGGGAGCAAACAGGAUUAGAUACCCUGGUAGUCCACGCGGUAAACGAUGAAUGCUAGGUGUUGCGGGUAUCGACCCCUGCAGUGCCGGAGUAAACACAAUAAGCAUUCCGCCUGGGGAGUACGGCCGCAAGGUUGAAACUCAAAUGAAUUGGCGGGG